rnacentral:lncRNA from 1 species
CACGUGCAUCCAACACCUUAAGUAGCUUGAAAUCUGAAAUACUAUCAGGCCAGUGAUUUAUUUCAGGUACUAGAUAAGAUUUACCAGCUCCCAUAAAGAUCAAGCUGCGGGUUGUAAUCUUACCACUCAUUUGACUUGGAUGAUUGCAAAAAUAAUCCUCAAUGAGAAAAGGAAUCAUCACACGCCUACGAUCAUUUAUGUCAUCUGAGUAAGCGGGAACAAGAUCACUGUAAGGAAAAUGCACAACAUUUUCACUUUGAGCUUCUCUUAUGCACAACUGCCUAAGAAGAUCAUGGAUUUUGCAAGUUUUGAAUCUUCCAUUAGGCUUUCGUGUUUUACCCAAAAUUAGACUCCUAUCCAUCAACUCUUGCACAUACUCCUCUGCCACAACUUCUAACCUUUUAUCGCUUGUUGCCUUUAUGAAUUGCUCAGCUAUCCAUGAGCUCAUCAUCUUCGAUACACGAAUCUCCAUAUCUUCAGGAAAACCUCCAAUAUAGAGAAAGCACGCCUUCAAGUAUGGGGGCAAGUAAUCGUAGCUCAAAGAAAGAAUUGCUUGACACUGUUCUAAAACCGAACCAUGAAAUGAGUUCAAAUUUUCCUCAAUUUUCUUCCAAUUAUCAUAUGUCACACCUAUCUUGCCAAGAAGUCCAGCAAUGACAAUAAUCGAGAGAGGUAAUCCUUGACAUUGUUGUAUGAUAUGCUUACCUAUUUUUCGUAGUUGUGGAGGACAACGAUCUUUUUUGAAUAGUCUUUUGGUAAAUAGUUUCCAACUAUCUUUAAAACUUAGAAAAGACACAUCAUGAGGAGGAAAAUCAGGGGAGCUUGCAUAAUCAGCAACAUGUUUGAGACGAGUGGUUAGUAUAAUUCGGCUUUUAUUGUUAUUAUUUUGAAAUAUUCUUCGCAUUUGGUCCCAAGCAUCAGUACUCCAAAGAUCAUCUAUGACAAUUAGAAAUCUCCUACCCUUGAGACUCCUAUACACAAUAACCAUCAAUUCAUCAUUGCUCAUUUCUUGAUUGUUGACUCCACUAAUUGAAGAAGCAACUUCAAGAAGCAUUUGUCUCUUAUUAUAUUGUUCAGAUAUGGUGACCCAUGCAUGUUUCUCAAAUCGAUCACGAAUAGUUGAGUUACCAAAAACUUUUCUAGCAAGAGUUGUCUUACCUAUACCGCCCAUACCAACAAGUGAUAUGACUAUUAGCUCUUUUGCUUGGGCAUUGAGGCAAUUCAGUAUGGCUUUGUAGUCUUUUUUCAUACCAACAUAAGUCGUUUCCUCGAUUGAUGAGAAAGAAGUUGUUGCUGCUAACUCCGUUGAUUUGCUUCCACGCUUGUUGCACUCGAUCACCAUCACCUCUUUCCUGAGAGAAUCAAAUUCUGUUUCAACUUGUUGUAAUUCUUCAUUGAAGAAUUUACAAGCUUUUUCUCGGUCGUCUUCAUUAUCUGCUAGAAGUAUGCUUGUUAAGCAUGAAUCAACUCUAUCUUCUGCUUUGUAGACUACAUCUUUGAUCUUUUUCUCUAAAAUCUUGAGAUUUUCAAUAUCAUUGGCUUCAUUUGUGGUAUCCUCUAGAAAAACCUGAAGAGAACAUAGACUUUGAUAAGAAGAUUCAACAUGUUGUUGUAUAGAACUUUCACAAAUCAAAGGUGAUUUAGCUUGCAGGAGUUGCUGCAGAGUUUGCAUAAGUGAGGAAAUACAAGCAUAGGCCAUUUUCUCUCUCUAGGUUUUGUUAGUCAAAAGUAUAUGAAAGCAUGAAUAAUGAAGCACAUAAAUAAAAUCAAUUACUACUUGCUACUUUUCUUAUAAAAUCAUUUUUUCAUCACCAAACAAAACAGGUUGUGGUGUAGUGGAGGGAGUUGCUCUUACCUUGUAAAAAAAUUCUUGAUAGGGAGCGUUUCCCCACGAAUGGGACCCUAUGCAGCGCGAAUUAGGAAUAGUUGGACUUCAUUGCGAGUACCAGAGACACAGACACUGGGUGGGAAGUAAAAAAUGAAAACUCAUCUAGGGUGUUUUUUGUAUGAAGGAAAAUAUUUUUUCUAGAAAAACUUUAUUGAAAAAACAACUAGUUUCUUACCUAUUUUCUAGUUUCAGUAAGUAAACAAGAAAAUAGUGUUUCUAUAAUAUUGGUAUGUAAUUUAGAAAAAACACUAUAGAGGUUGGAUGGGGUGGGGACGGGAUGGGAGGGGAGUGAGAUUCGGGUGGUGAGGGCAUUGGAUGGUAAGGAGAAGACAAUUUGUUAUUACUACUUUCAUUGAGAAAGAAAAAUUUCUCUAAACAUUUCGACCAGUUGAAAAGGAAAAAAUUUAAUAACACUUGGAAAAUAUUUUUCUGCUUACCAAACACACUCAAAUGUAAUGUUGCUUUCUUUAAUAAAUAAAGUUGGUGGAUUGACAACUGGUUUGUUGACAAAUGCACUAAUUUCUCUUCAAUAAACCUUUAGGUUCACACUCACACUCACAAUGUUCUGAAUAGUCUAAAGCACACAAACUUUGACUGAUUCAAAUUAAUGGUACCAUUUAUGUGGUGUAGUAACGUAUUAUUAGCAUUUUUUUUCUUAGAUAAACUUUAUUAAGUAGUAGUUGACAUUUGAAUUAAUAAAGAAAGUAAUUGUCAUUUUGUGGCUAAUAAACAAAGCUGCAUACUGUACUCAUGGUAAAGACCCCGAUUUUUUCAAAGAUAAGAGAUGUCAUUGCUAGUAUGUUGUGUAAAGGCAGUACAGUUUAGUUUUGGUCGAGUCAAGGGACCUGACCUGGUCGGUCUUGUGGUAUUGGGACUGAUGAUAGGGGGAAUGAACGAAACCAAGGGUCGAAAGUUGAAGAGGCUGAAUAUUAGUUUGUCAUCAUCAAAAAGGGGGGAAUUGUUAUUUUAACCUAUGUCUGAAGUUGAUUAAACAAACUUUGAACCUGAUCCCUGACGAAAGUGUGAAUUCCCUACUGGAAAACUAAAGCUGUCUAAAAGCCUGCAAAACCUGCUAUGGUUGAUGCCCGGCUCCCAUGGUACAUCAGGCCCUCAACCAAUGAAAUCGCUUUGUAUGUUUGCACUCAUCAUCCUAUAAUAUGUCCACUCUCCACUACUAUCACAAACAAGUUUUUGCAACAUAGAUUUCUCACAUAAAGCAAAAGCAUCUCUCAGCGAAAUGUUGCUCCAGAACGGGCGAAGGACCUGAUAGAGUUAUCGUUGUUCUUAGUUGUUGCUAGGGUUUAUAUUUCAAUGGUUAAUAUUCUUGUAUGAUCUAUUCCCAAGUAAUAAAGAAAGUAGAUCAGUUUUCAUAUUAGAACACAACAACGAUUAGCUAGAGUUAGCUAUGUUGGGUUCUUGAAGUCUAGAUUGACUAGAGUUAGUUGGUUUAGUGGACAAUAGAUUAUUGCUAAGUAGUUACUGGUAGUAGAGUGGCUACAGUAAGGGGGAAGGGAUUAAAGAGUUUUAAUUCCUAGAUUACAAGAGUUUGUAAUCUGUUCCCCCGAAUGCAUCUUUUGCUUUGAGCAGCUCGAGAUUAGGCAGGAAGGGAGGGCAAGUGUUUUCAAGUUAUUGAGAAACAAAGAUUGUUGUUCUCGACUUUCUGCUUCAAGAGGAUUAGACAUAUGUAUUGACAAUCCAAUAUCAACAUGUCUCUGCUUAGAUUUCAGUCAUAAUUCUGUUGUUCUAUUGUAUGCAUAAGGGAAGAAAGAGAAGCAUAAGUCAUUUUCUCUGAGCUUAGAUUUCAGUCAUAAUUCUGUUAUCACGAGACAAAAUUUGAGUAUUUAUUUUUUAACCAGGUCCUGGAAAAGAACCAACCUAGCUCAACAACAGGCUGAUAAUCUGCUUCAAAUAUUGCAUCUUUAGAAUUUGAGGAUUGAGCUUCUUGAGAGAUUGCAUUGUGAUUGAAUGAUGGAUUUCAAUUCUAUUAUCAAUUUUUGGAGGAUGUUUUGGCAUUAAACUUUCAACUAUGGGACUUCUUACCUUUAGAAUAGUAUAGAUAGAUAGAUAAGAGUUCACAAAUAGGUGAAAACAAGAAAUGAAAGAAAACAGAAAACAUUACAUGUAUUGUAAAGAUGGUACAAUUAUAAUUUGAAGCUCAUAAUUUCCCCAGCUUUGUUGAUCUUCUAGAAUAUUCCUUGCACUAUCAUCGACUGUAGGACUGCAAUAUUUCACUUGGACUAAUUUUAGUGUCAUUAUUUCUCCAAAACUUUGUGGAAUAUCCUCUAGUUCUUCGAGAUGCUGAAGGACUAGUUGCUCAAGCAUCGGGAAACUAUCACUAGCUGCUUCCCACAUUUCCAGAUCAUCUGCCCUCUUAAUUCGUAGAUAUUUUAGUUUUUGAAACACAACAUCUUCAUUUAGAUCCCAAUCUGUUCCCGUGAAUGCAUGAUCUGCUUUGAGCACCUCAAGAUUGGGUAAAUUAGCCAGCACAGCCAUAUCUUCCCAAGGCAAUGAAGUUUCAGCUAAUCUCAAAUGCUUUAGAUUAGGCGCGCAAAAAGCACUAGACAGAAUGCGCGGACUGUUGUCUUCUGUUGCUGUUAUACUUAGCUUUUCCAGCCUCUGUAGAUUAAUGAGACAAUCAACAAAAUCAGACCACUCAUUAUGUGUAUUAGCAGCUCUAAUCUUCAGCUUAUCUACAUUGGGUGUUCUCUUUAGGAUUUCUGCCAAAAAAGGCGAGGAAUCGAGAGCAAGUGUUUGCAAGUUAUUCAGAAACAAAGGUUGUUGCUCUUCAAUACUAAGAGGAUUAGGCAUAUCCAUUUGUUCAAUAAUCACAUGUUUUAUCUCUGACAUUGUCCAAAUCUCCACCGGGAGCUGCACAAUAUUUAUCCUUGAAUAAAUAAUUAUGGUCUGUAGAUUGCACAACUUGGCUAGUGAAGAAGGAUCCUGAAUUCUUGCAUCAACAUACCUCAAAUGAACAAGUUGAGGUAUAAUAUGAGAGAAAUCGUAGCCAAUUUCACGUGCAUCCAACACCUUAAGUAGCUUGAAAUCUGAAAUACUAUCAGGCCAGUGAUUUAUUUCAGGUACUAGAUAAGAUCUACCAGCUCCCAUAAAGAUCAAGCUGCGGGUUGUAAUCUUACCACUCAUUUGACUUGGAUGAUCGCAAAAAUAAUCCUCAAUCAGAAAAGGAAUCAUCACACGCCUACGAUCAUUUAUGUCAU